UACGUAGGGGGCAAGCGUUGUCCGGAUUUAUUGGGCGUAAAGAGCUCGUAGGCGGCUGGUCACGUCGGGUGUGAAAGCUCAGAGCUCAACUCUGAGAGGCCAUUCGAUACGGAUCAGCUAGAGGUAGGUAGGGGAAAGUGGAAUUCCUGGUGUAGCGGUGAAAUGCGCAGAUAUCUGGAGGAACACCGGUGGCGAAGGCGGCGUUCUGGACUGCAACUGACACUGAUGAACGAAAGCCAGGGGAGCAAACGGG
rnacentral:rRNA from 1 species